CAGGGGCGCGGUUGCAUAGCAGACCGUGACCUCCGACCUUCCUUUGCGAAAUGAAAAUGUCCCUGAGGGAAAUGCAAAAGUACAUUUUGAAAAGAUUUCACAUGCAUUCAGAACUCACAGAAUUCCAUCAUAUAGUAUUUAAGAUUAAUUUAAAGGUGAUGUAUUAUUCUCAUAUUCAGGUUCAUACUUUUAUUUGGCUGACCACUUGAAAAGGUUCACAAGCUCGAGAGUUCAGAAAAGGCAUCACUGUUCUCAUACUGCCCAUUCCUGCAGCUCCUCUUUUGACCCUCUGUCUAAAACCCCUGGAUUUAUUUUAGCUCCGCCUCCUGAUAAAUUCAAGUCUUCCCUGAUUGGCCAGCUGGCCCGGUCUGUUGUGAUUGAUAAACUGCUUUCAAAAUGUGUAGAAAUAUCUCACACAGAGAGAAAUGUGAACCAGCUGUAGGGUUUAGCCACCCCACAAAAAAAGAAACAUGGUGGUCUUUUUUCACAGUUUGUGGGUCGGCAGGCUCCACAGAGACACAACUUUAUGUGCACAAACACUGAAAUAGUGAUUUUUGCGUAAUAUGUCACUUUUAAAUAAAUAAACCGAAAUGAAACAUGUUCUUUCGCUCAACAAGUGCCAAUCGAAGGCGAAGCAGUGAGUAAAGCAAGUGAUCAUUCCAGACCAAAUAAUCGUCAGGGCUCUCACCCUGCUAACUGGAGAAGAGAGAAGACUGGUGGCGGGUUAACUGACCAGAAAGCUCUCGUUUUGGAAAGUGGUCUCAUUCAUCAUUUUCUCAAAACGUGCAGUAAUCUCGUCGUUGACCUGCGGGGACGGACCGUUCUCCUGCGGCCAGAUUUACACAUGACAGCGAGCCGCCUGCAGCCUGCGGCCCGACUGAAGCAACCAUCUGAGCUGAGGGUUUUUUGUCGAGGUCAGAGUUCAGCUACGGCGCCAGCCGUAGCAGGGGCUGGAUGAGCAUAUGGGACGGUGGUUAAAAUGUACGAAAGUGCAUCAGGACGGGAAGACGAGGAAGAUCAAAGUGGUGUCUGGCGACUGAAUAAAUCAUCUGUGUGGUUAUUUCUGUUGCGCAGAUGUACUGCUAAUGAGAUAGUGUCGAGUGGCUGUAUUGAAAAAAUCAUCUCCACUACGCGGUGUGAGUGAGUUCCUGCCGCCAUUGGCCCUGACUGCAGCAACAAAGAAUUUCACAGAAUUAGAUAGAAACUGAGCUGUCACGUUUGGUUUGCAAGACCAACCUUGAGGGCGCGGAGAUGAGAGGCUCUGAGCGGACAGCGGUAUCAGAACAGAGAUGAAGCUGUUUUCUGCCCCAUUUCUCGGCUUGCCGGCCACACUGGUUCUCCUCGUAGACAAGGAAUUCAAUACUGGAUGAGCUCGCGGGCUCAGACCAGAGCUGGAAUCUGAGGGAAUGAAGUGUUUUUCACGCUACACUGCCCUCUCCUGAUUCGGGACCAUUGUGGAAAUAUGUAAAUAAACCUCCGGAGAGGGAACACUGGACGCGCAGCUCAGGGACUGGAGAGCUCUAAUUGGGGAACGUUACCGAUGAACGUCGACAGUGCAAAGAUAAUGGGAUCAUUCAAUAUUCCACGUCCACGUUGUUUUUGUCUGUUUGGAAGAUUCGCCGUGGACGCACUUUGAGCUUCAUUGUUUAUUGAACAGCGAGAGAAUUCAUCCACUUGGCAAACGAGGCAUGAACUAUUCAUGAGUCAUUAAACAUAAAGGUUUAUUUGAAAACUGC
rnacentral:lncRNA from 1 species